UGAAAUAAAGUGUAAAGCACGUUAAAUUUUGAUUUUAAAAGAAAAAUUUCAA
rnacentral:tRNA from 1 species